CAGGCUUAACACAUGCAAGUCGAGGGGCAUCAGGAAGAAAGCUUGCUUUCUUUGCUGGCGACCGGCGCACGGGUGAGUAACACGUAUCCAACCUGCCCUUUACUCGGGGAUAGCCUUUCGAAAGAAAGAUUAAUACCCGAUGGCAUAAUGAUUCCGCAUGGUUUCAUUAUUAAAGGAUUCCGGUAAAGGAUGGGGAUGCGUUCCAUUAGGUUGUUGGUGAGGUAACGGCUCACCAAGCCUUCGAUGGAUAGGGGUUCUGAGAGGAAGGUCCCCCACAUUGGAACUGAGACACGGUCCAAACUCCUACGGGAGGCAGCAGUGAGGAAUAUUGGUCAAUGGGCGCUAGCCUGAACCAGCCAAGUAGCGUGAAGGAUGAAGGCUCUAUGGGUCGUAAACUUCUUUUAUAUAAGAAUAAAGUGCAGUAUGUAUACUGUUUUGUAUGUAUUAUAUGAAUAAGGAUCGGCUAACUCCGUGCCAGCAGCCGCGGUAAUACGGAGGAUCCGAGCGUUAUCCGGAUUUAUUGGGUUUAAAGGGAGCGUAGGUGGACUGGUAAGUCAGUUGUGAAAGUUUGCGGCUCAACCGUAAAAUUGCAGUUGAUACUGUCAGUCUUGAGUACAGUAGAGGUGGGCGGAAUUCGUGGUGUAGCGGUGAAAUGCUUAGAUAUCACGAAGAACUCCGAUUGCGAAGGCAGCUCACUGGACUGCAACUGACACUGAUGCUCGAAAGUGUGGGUAUCAAACAGGAUUAGAUACCCUGGUAGUCCACACAGUAAACGAUGAAUACUCGCUGUUUGCGAUAUACAGUAAGCGGCCAAGCGAAAGCAUUAAGUAUUCCACCUGGGGAGUACGCCGGCAACGGUGAAACUCAAAGGAAUUGACGGGGGCCCGCACAAGCGGAGGAACAUGUGGUUUAAUUCGAUGAUACGCGAGGAACCUUACCCGGGCUUAAAUUGCAGUGGAAUGAUGUGGAAACAUGUCAGUGAGCAAUCACCGCUGUGAAGGUGCUGCAUGGUUGUCGUCAGCUCGUGCCGUGAGGUGUCGGCUUAAGUGCCAUAACGAGCGCAACCCUUAUCUUUAGUUACUAACAGGUUAUGCUGAGGACUCUAGAGAGACUGCCGUCGUAAGAUGUGAGGAAGGUGGGGAUGACGUCAAAUCAGCACGGCCCUUACGUCCGGGGCUACACACGUGUUACAAUGGGGGGGUACAGAAGGCAGCUAGCGGGUGACCGUAUGCUAAUCCCAAAAUCCUCUCUCAGUUCGGAUCGAAGUCUGCAACCCGACUUCGUGAAGCUGGAUUCGCUAGUAAUCGCGCAUCAGCCACGGCGCGGUGAAUACGUUCCCGGGCCUUGUACACACCGCCCGUCAAGCCAUGGGAGCCGGGGGUACCUGAAGUACGUAACCGCAAGGAUCGUCCUAGGGUAAAACUGGUGACUGGGGCUAAGUC
rnacentral:rRNA from 1 species